UACGUAGGCAGCAAGCGUUGUUCGGAGUUACUGGGCGUAAAGGGUGCGUAGGCGGUUGUUUAAGUUUGGUGUGAAAUCUCCCGGCUCAACCGGGAGGGUGCGCCGAAUACUGAAUGACUAGAGUGCGGGAGAGGAGAGUGGAAUUCCUGGUGUAGCGGUGAAAUGCGUAGAUAUCAGGAGGAACACCGGUGGUGUAGACGGCUCUCUGGACCGUAACUGACGCUGAGGCACGGAAAGCGUGGGUAGCAAACAGG
rnacentral:rRNA from 1 species